rnacentral:rRNA from 1 species
UACGUAGGGGGCAAGCGUUGUCCGGAAUCAUUGGGCGUAAAGAGCGCGUAGGCGGCCCGAUAAGUCCGCUGUGAAAGUCAAGGGCUUAACCCUUGAAUGCCGGUGGAAACUGUCGGGCUAGAGUCCGGAAGAGGCGAGUGGAAUUCCACGUGUAGCGGUGAAAUGCGUAGAGAUGUGGAGGAACACCAGUGGCGAAGGCGGCUCGCUGGGCCGGACCUGACGCUGAGACGCGAAGGCGUGGGGAGCGAACGGG